UACGUAGGGGGCAAGCGUUGUCCGGAAUCAUUGGGCGUAAAGCGCGUGUAGGCGGCUCGAUAAGUCUGCUGUGAAAGUCCAGGGCUCAACCCUGGGAUGCCGGUGGAUACUGUCGAGCUCGAGUCCGGAAGAGGCGAGUGGAAUUCCUGGUGUAGCGGUGAAAUGCGCAGAUAUCAGGAGGAACACCAAUGGCGAAGGCAGCUCGCUGGGACGUGACUGACGCUGAGACGCGAAAGCCAGGGGAGCAAACAGG
rnacentral:rRNA from 1 species